UUCGCAAUGCCCGAAAGGGUGACGAAGCGACGCCGCGUGGAGGACGAAGGCCCUCGGGUUGUAAACUCCUGUCAGGUGGGAAGAAUAGCAUGGGAACCAAUAAUCCCCAUGCCUGACGUUACCACCAGAGGAAGCACCAGCAAACUACGUGCCAGCAGCUGCGGUAAUACGAAGGGUGCGAGCGUUGUUCGGAAUCACUGGGCUUAAAGGGCACGUAGGCGGGAAGAUAAAUCAGGAGUGAAAGCCCGGCGCUCAACGUCGGAACUGCUUCUGAAAACGUCUUUCUCGAGUGCAGGAGGGGAGAGCGGAACUCUUGGUGGAGCGGUGAAAUGCGUAGAUAUCAAGGGGAACGCCGGCGGCGAAAGCGGCUCUCUGGCCUGCUACUGACGCUGAGUGUGCGAAAGCUAGGGGAGCAAAGAGGAUUAGAUACCCUUGUAGUCCUAGCCGUAAACGAUGGGCACUAAGUAGAGGGGUUUU
rnacentral:rRNA from 1 species